UACGGAGGGUGCAAGCGUUAUCCGGAUUCACUGGGUUUAAAGGGAGCGUAGGUGGCCUGCUAAGUCAGUGGUGAAAUCUUCUCGCUUAACGAGAAAACUGCCAUUGAUACUGGUGGGCUUGAGUACAGAUGCCGUUGGCGGAAUAUGACAUGUAGUGGUGAAAUACAUAGAGAUGUCAUAGAACACCGAUUGCGAAGGCAGCUAACGAAACUGUAACUGACACUGAGGCUCGAAAGUGCGGGGAUCAAACAGG
rnacentral:rRNA from 1 species